AUUUCGUCAAACGCCAAAUGAUGACAAAAAGUGUGAGGAAAGAGAGAGAGAGAGAUUGUGAGUGAGGAAAGGAAACAAGUGAGAGUGAAUGUGAGAGAGCGAGAGAGAAAGGCUGGUUGUGAGUUGUGAGUGAAGAAAAGAAACGAGUGAGAAUGAGAGUGAGGAAAGGAAACGAGUGAGAGUGAUAAGACGUGAGUGAGGAAAGAUAGCGAGACGAGCAAGAGUGACAGAACAUGGUAGUGUGGCAGUUAUGGCAGGGUUGAUAGAGACAUGUUAACAAAAUUGUGGACUGGGUCCACAAUUUGCAUACCAUGUGGCUAAUUUGUGUUUCACGAUUCUUCCACCUA
rnacentral:misc_RNA from 1 species